AGCGAGGGGUCGCUCCGCAAGGCCUGCGAGAGCAAGCUCUACUCCACCGUCAUCCUCUCCUUCCUGACCAACUUCGGCCGCGGCAAGUACAAGCUCGACCUCGCCGGCCACCCCUGGAAGGACGUCGGGCACGACGUCAAGUACUGCCAGUCGAAGAAAAUCCUCGUCCUGCUCGCCAUCGGCGGCGGCAUUGGAAAGUACUCCCUCGCCUCCAAGGCCGACGCCAAGGAUGUGGCCAACCACCUCUGGGACAACUACCUCGGCGGGAAGUCCCACUCCCGGCCGUUCGGCGACGCCGUGCUGGACGGCAUCGACUUCGACAUCGAGCUCGGGAGCAAGGCCUACUACGACGACCUCGCCAGGGACCUCAAGGCCUACAGCAACAGGAAGGGCGAGAAGAAGGUGUUGAUCACGGCAGCGCCGCAGUGCCCGUUCCCGGACAAGAGGCUGGGGGAGGCGCUCCGGACGGGGCUCUUCGACCGCGUGCAUGUCCAGUUCUACAACAACCCGGUGUGCAGCUACAGGGCCGGCAACGUGGCUGCGUUCAAGGCAGCGUGGGAGGACUGGACCAAGGGCCUGCCCAAGAGCUCGGUCUGCCUCGGGCUGCCGGCGGAGCGGGAGGCGUCGAACAAGGGCAGCGGGUACGUAGAUCCGGACACGCUGGUGUCCAAGGUGCUGCCCAUCGUGCACCGGUCUAAGAACUACGGAGGGAUCGUGCUGUGGAGCAGAUACUUUGACAUGAAGUCUGGGUAUAGUAGGCACGUCAAGAGCGCCGUCUGA
rnacentral:rRNA from 1 species